rfam:Sinomonas atrocyanea strain KCTC 3377, complete genome.
CAGGUCGGCCGGGCGACCGCGGGGCGGUCUGGCGUAAGCCAGGGCGCCGCGAGGAAAGUCCGGGCUCCGCAGGGCAGGGUGGUGGGUAACGCCCACUCGGGGAAACCCGCAGGCCAGUGCCACAGAGAACAGACCGCCGCGGACAGGCGCCUGGCGCCGCGUCCGCGGUAAGGGUGAAACGGCGGUGUAAGAGACCACCAGCUCCCCGGGCGACCGGGGAGGCUCGGUAAACCCCACCCGGAGCAAGGCCAGACAGGGCGCGAUCGAGGGCUGCCCGCCCGAGCGCCCGGGUAGGCCGCUCGAGGCCGCCGGCAACGGCGGUCCUAGAUGGAUGGUCGCCUCCCGCGCCGGGGCAACCCGGCGCGGAGACAGAACCCGGCUCACAGGCCGGCCUGUCCU